UAAACUGGAGGAAGUGGGGAUGACGUCAAGUCAUCAUGGCCCUUACGACCAGGGCUACACACGUGCUACAAUGGCGCAUACAAAGAGAAGCGACCUCGCGAGAGCAAGCGGACCUCAUAAAGUGCGUCGUAGUCCGGAUUGGAGUCUGCAACUCGACUCCAUGAAGUCGGAAUCGCUAGUAAUCGUGGAUCAGAAUGCCACGGUGAAUACGUUCCCGGGCCUU
rnacentral:rRNA from 1 species